ACUAAGCCAUGCGAGUCGAAUGUAGCAAUACAUGGCGAACUGCUCAGUAACACGUGGACAACCUGCCCUUAGGACGGGGAUAAACCCGGGAAACUGGGUAUAAUACCCGAUAGGUCUCGAUUGCUGGAAUGCAUCGAGAUUUAAAGCUCCGGCGCCUAAGGAUGGGUCUGCGGCCUAUCAGGUAGUAGCGGGUGUAGCGUACCUACUAGCCUACGACGGGUACGGGUUGUGAGAGCAAGAGCCCGGAGAUGGAUUCUGAGACACGAAUCCAGGCCCUACGGGGUGCAGCAGGCGCGAAAACUUUACAAUGCUGGCAACAGCGAUAAGGGAACCUCGAGUGCCAGGUUACAAAUCUGGCUGUCGAGAUGCCUAAAAAGCAUUUCAUAGCAAGGGCCGGGCAAGACCGGUGCCAGCCGCCGCGGUAACACCGGCGGCUCGAGUGGUAACCGUUAUUAUUGGGUCUAAAGGGUCUGUAGCCGGCCGGAUAAGUCUCUUGAGAAAUCUGGCGGCUUAACUGUCAGGCUUUCAGGAGAUACUGUCUGGCUCGAGGCCGGGAGAGGUGAGAGGUACUUCAGGGGUAGGGGUGAAAUCUUGUAAUCCUUGAAGGACCACCAGUGGCGAAGGCGUCUCACCAGAACGGACCUGACGGCAAGGGACGAAAGCUAGGGGCACGAACCGGAUUAGAUACCCGGGUAGUCCUAGCCGUAAACGAUACUCGCUAGGUGUCGGCCACGGUGCGACCGUUGUCGGUGCCGUAGGGAAGCCGUGAAGCGAGCCACCUGGGAAGUACGGCCGCAAGGCUGAAACUUAAAGGAAUUGGCGGGGGAGCACCACAACGGGUGGAGCUUGCGGUUUAAUUGGAGUCAACGCCGGG
rnacentral:rRNA from 1 species